UUUCACAUCUUCUUCAUGCUGCAGCUGGUCCUUUGCAACAGCUGGCCAUGGCGGGCAGUAAGACCCCUUGUGGGAAUCCAGGCAGCCGUGCGCGUCGUCAAUCACUGCAGAGCUUCAGUCCAGCCUCUGUCCAGCCCCUCGGGACGGGGUCCACCUGGCGUCUGCUGCUGACCCAUGAAGUCAGCGAGCUAGGCAGAGAGACAGAGGGACACACAGACAGCUCACCUGGACACUGACGCGGCCCCUCCCCAGGAGAAGCGAUGGAACCAGGGCGCGCGGUGGAGCUCUUACAGAAACACCCUGUGACUCAUGAGUGAACACAUAAUUAGCCUUGAAGCCUUGGGCUUUGUUGGUUGGUGAGUUGGGACUUUUUUGGUUUAAUACCAUCAUUCACAUUCCCUAAACACAAAGCUCCCUGGAAGGACACACCUUCUUAUUUCAACACCACAGAGUAAGACAUUUGGAAGGAGCCUGGAAGACCCACUUUCUACUGGACACUAAGGUCACACUGAACCACCUGGCCUGGCCUCACCUGCGUGCUGAGGCUUACGUAUCCUGUACUCAUCUUUUCAGACCCUCCUGUUUCAGAAGUUCCCAGGCAAGGCAAUCCACUAGCUAAUCCCACGUCUUCGCAUAGCCACAGUCAUUUCAUGGGACCCAGGGCCUGAGAGAUCCCGCGCUCUCCCGGUACAUCUGGGGAAACUGAGGCCCGGGGAGAGAUCCUCUUUUCAGAGGGCUUCUUAAUGGUGGCCUCCUCUGCAAUGAGAUGGUCCCCAAGUAACCUGAGGGCUCCCAGGGGAGAUGCCAGGCUUGGAGCUGUGCCUGCUCCCAGCAGCCAUGCUCGUCCUCAGUCAGCACAACGCUCUUGCUCUUGCUCUUUGGUGCUCGGUGCAUUGGGUCCAAAGUCACUGAAAGACUCAGCCUGAAGUUCAGGCUUCAGUGUGUCCAGACCUCCCUGUCUCACUGACCCCACCCCAGAGCAGCACGUACAAAUGGCCAGAGAGGCUUGUUUACCAGACCUGAACUCACAGAUCUGCCACUGGAGUGUUAAAUGAGUUAAUAUGUGGAAAACCCCUAGACUCGUUCUUGU